GUAUCGUGGAAGGACAAGUGUUGAAUGUGAAUUUGUACAAUUUUAUUAUGAAUGCGAUAGUUUCUUAAUAUUAUUUUGUGUGUAAACUACUCUUAAUGUACUUAAGUUAUCUUAAAAGUCCUGGUCGAGUCGUCGCUUAACGCCUGCCAUCAGUUUAACACGAUGACGCAGUUGAAGGUGUCGCAGGCCGCAAUUCCGCGCAAUCGGUGUCUCGUCGCCACAUGUUCUAUCGAAAAGCGCACUGCUUGCCAAACACCUGUUGACACUGUUUUUGUUACCACUUGUGGCGAUUGGCGCAAUGGCGGCGGUGUUCCCAUUGACUUCAAACCAACAAUGAACUAUAUAAUCCAGCAUUGAAAUGACCAGAACAAAUAAUACUAGACAAGCGGGAUUUACGGGCAAAUACGAAGAAGAGCUAUCCAUGGCUUGGUGUAGACUUGACGGGCGUCCUCUUGUGAAUGAUAUUCGGAUGCGUCCUCCAUCGACUAUAUAUGCAGAACAGGUAG
rnacentral:lncRNA from 1 species